rnacentral:rRNA from 1 species
GGAGGGGGCUAGCGUUGUUCGGAAUUACUGGGGCGUAAAGCGCGCGUAGGCGGACUGGUCAGUUGGGGGUGAAAUCCCGAGGGCUCAACCUCGGGAACUGCCCUCAAUACUGCCAGUCUUGAGUUCGAGAGAGGUGAGUGGAAUUCCUAGUGUAGAGGUGAAAUUCGUAGAUAUUAGGAAGAACACCAGUGGCGACGGCGGCUCACUGGCUCGAUACUGACGCUGAGGCGCGAAAGCGUGGGGAGCAAACAGGAUUAGAUACCCUGGUAGUCCACGCCGUAAACGAUGAGAGCUAGCCGUCGGGCGGCAUGCCGUUCGGUGGCGCAGCUAACGCAUUAAGCUCUCCGCCUGGGGAGUACGGUCGCAAGAUUA